UACGGAGGGUGCUAGCGUUGUUCGGAAUCACUGGGCGUAAAGGGCGUGUAGGCGGUCUGUUAAGUCUGAUGUGAAAUCCCCUCGCUCAACGAGGGAACUGCGUCGGAUACUGGCAGACUCGAGUACCGGAGAGGAAGGUGGAAUUCCGGGUGUAGCGGUGGAAUGCGUAGAGAUCUGGAGGAACACCGAUGGCGAAGGCAGCCUUCUGGGCCAACACUGACGCUCAUGCACGAAAGCGUGGGGAGCAAACAGG
rnacentral:rRNA from 1 species